UCAAACUCCAAAGUUGAAAUUUGAUGUUGUUUUGAAGAAUAUAUUUACUAAUUAAUCUGUAUUUAUAUAUUUAAAAUAAUUCAUUCAUAUAUUUAUUUUCAAAGUUAAUUUUUUUAGUCAAAGUCCGUUUGAAAUAUAUGGGCCUGGAAGACCAAAAAAUAAAGAAGUCCAAAAGUAAUCCAACAAGCAAACAAAAGUAAAGUUCUAACAGCACAGUAACGAAAACAAAAAAAAAAGAAACACAACCCUCUCCAGAACCUUCUUCCAGUCCCUUCGCGUACCUGAAACACCAAACGGCCAUAACCCCCAAAAUUAUGGUGAAAGAUCGGCCAGACAAGGAGGCGAGUUGAGAUUUACAGGAAGAUUUUGACAUUUCUCAACUCAAAAAUCAACAUCAUAGUAGAGGAGGCUAGGGUGGAUGACUGAAUCGUCGAUCUGAGUCUACCACUUCCAAAACUUUUGUUGAAGCAUCUUCAACCCAGAAUGAGUCCACUAGCGUUCGCAAACCUUCGACAGCCACUGCAUGCGUUGCAGCGUUCCCUUCUCAUGCAACAAAUUGAAAUCAACAAGAAAUAAAGUUCCUUGCAAGAACCUUCGCAUCCCAGAAUGGCAUUUAUGAAGCCCAUAUCUAAUGCAAAUUGGAGCCCAUGAAGAACUGCUGUCACUUCGACUAUCACCAUUGAUCUGACCAGGUUAUGUACUUUGAUCCCCGAUCCCAAGGGUGAAGCCGAAACAAUUUUUUAGGGAGCCGAAUGAUUUUAAGAGUUUAAAGUACAAUUUUAUAUUUAUUAAUUUAAAAUUAUAAAAAAUUUUAAA